rnacentral:rRNA from 1 species
UUGAACCGGUGUGGUAGUAGUUAAGCAAUGGUGUGACACAGGAAGGCAGUCCAGCCCGGGCGAUGGUUGUCCCGGGGUAAGGCUGUAGGGGGUGAUGUAGGCAAAUCCGCAUCACAUAUACCCUGAGAGCUGAUGCCGAGCCGUAAGGCGAAGUGGAUGAUCCUAUGCUGUCAAGAAAAGCAUCUAGCGAGAAUUAUUGCGGCCCGUACCCGAAACCGACACAGGUGGUCAGGUAGAGAAUACCAAGGCGAUCGAGAGAAUCAUGGAUAAGGAACUCGGCAAAAUGCCCCCGUAACUUCGGGAGAAGGGGGGCCCUUCGACGUGUAGGAGUUUACCUCCGAAGCGUUGGAAGGCCGCAGAGACCAGGCUCAAGCGACUGUUUACCAAAAACACAGGUCCGUGCGAAGUAGCAAUACGAUGUAUACGGACUGACGCCUGCCCGGUGCUGGAAGGUUAAGGGGACUGGUUAGCCGCAAGGCGAAGCUGAGAACUUAAGCCCCAGUAAACGGCGGUGGUAACUAUAACCAUCCUAAGGUAGCGAAAUUCCUUGUCGGGUAAGUUCCGACCUGCACGAAUGGCGUAACGACUUGAGCGCUGUCUCAUCCGUGAACUCGGCGAAAUUGCAUUACGAGUAAAGAUGCUCGUUACGCGCAGAAAGACGGAAAGACCCCGGGACCUUUACUAUAUCUUGAUAUUGGUGUUCGGAACGGUUUGUGUAGCAUAGGUGGGAGACUUUGAAGCGGGCACGCCAGUGUUUGUGGAGUCAUCGUUGAAAUACCACUCUGAUCGUUUUGAACUUCUAACCUCGGUCCGUAAUCCGGAUCAGGGACAGUGUCUGGUGGGUAGUUUGACUGGGGCGGUCGCCUCCUAAAAAGUAACGGAGGCGCUCAAAGGUUCCCUCAACCUGGUUGGCAAUCAGGUGUCGAGUGUAAGUGCACAAGGGAGCUUAACUGUGAGACAGACAUGUCGAGCAGGUGCGAAAGCAGGAACUAGUGAUCCGGCGGUGGCUUGUGGAAGCGCCGUCGCUCAACGGAUAAAAGGUACCCCGGGGAUAACAGGCUGAUCUUGCCCAAGAGUCCAUAUCGACGGCAAGGUUUGGCACCUCGAUGUCGGCUCGUCUCAUCCUGGGGCUGGAGUAGGUCCCAAGGGUUGGGCUGUUCGCCCAUUAAAGAGGCACGCGAGCUGGGUUCAGAACGUCGUGAGACAGUUCGGUCCCUAUCUUCUGUGCGCGCAGGAAACUUGAGAAGGGCUAACCCUAGUACGAGAGGACCGGGUUGGACGAACCUCUGGUGUGUCGGUUGUUCCGCCAGGAGCACCGCCGAUUUGCUACGUUCGGAAGGGAUAACCGCUGAAAGCAUCUAAGCGGGAAGCUCGCUUCGAGAUUAGGUUUCCCACUGGUUUACCAGGUAAGGCCCCCAGUAGACGACUGGGUUGAUGGCCGGAAG